CCUGUUUAUCUUAGUGGCGGACGGGUGAGUAACGCGUGGGUAACCUGCCCUGUACAGGGGGAUAACACUUAGAAAUAGGUGCUAAAACCGCAUAAGCGCACAGUACCGCAUGGUUCAGUGUGAAAAACUCCGGUGGUACAGGAUGGACCCGCGUCUGAUUAGCUGGUUGGAGGGGUAACGGCCCACCAAGGCGACGAUCAGUAGCCGGCCUGAGAGGGUGAACGGCCACAUUGGGACUGAGACACGGCCCAAACUCCUACGGAAGGCAGCAG
rnacentral:rRNA from 1 species